rnacentral:lncRNA from 1 species
GAUGUGAAAAUAUGUGAUAUGCAUAUGUAUGUAUUUUGUGUAUAUGUAUAUAUACUUAAAUAUUUUAAUACACACAUAUGUACAUACAUUCUCAAGCUCUGUCCAUGACAGGAUCUGGGAAUGGGGAACUUCAAAGCCAAAGAAUAUACCUAGCAUCCAGAUCUUGUUUUCUAAAAAUCAUUCUUCUUUAAAAGGAACCAGGGCUGAUUCCAAGGGCUGGGGCAGAAAAAAAAAAAGGACAAUAUCAGCCUGUCCACACCCUGUUUUUCAGGAUCUUACCAGCCCAAAGACUCUAAGUCAUGUGAAAUUGCUGCCAUUUAACAUGUAUGUAUUGCCCUACAGGAGCACAGUUUUUAAAUGACAUGGUACAGGGGAAUCAAAAUUCAAGUCAUGACCCUGCCAUGACUCUCAUCACUUGCAAGACAAAGUUC